rnacentral:rRNA from 1 species
CGAACGCUGGCGGCAGGCCUAAUACAUGCAAGUCGAACGGCUCUUCGGAGCAGUGGCGGACGGGUGAGUAACGCGUGGGAAUGUGCCCUUAGGUACGGAACAACACAGGGAAACUUGUGCUAAUACCGUAUGUGCCCUUCGGGGGAAAGAUUUAUCGCCUUUGGAGCAGCCCGUGUUGGAUUAGGUAGUUGGUGAGGUAAAGGCUCACCAAGCCGACGAUCCAUAGCUGGUCUGGGAGGAUGACCAGCCACACUGGGACUGAGACACGGCCCAGACUCCUACGGGAGGCAGCAGUAGGGAAUCUUGCGCAAUGGGCGAAAGCCUGACGCAGCCAUGCCGCGUGUAUGAUGAAGGUCUUAGGAUUGUAAAAUACUUUCACCGGGGAAGAUAAUGACGGUACCCGGAGAAGAAGCCCCGGCUAACUUCGUGCCAGCCGCCGCAGUAAAAC